rnacentral:rRNA from 1 species
AGUGAACGCUGGCGGUAGGCCUAACACAUGCAAGUCGAACGGCAGCACAGUAAGAGCUUGCUCUUGCGGGUGGCGAGUGGCGGACGGGUGAGGAAUACAUCGGAAUCUACUUUUUCGUGGGGGAUAACGUAGGGAAACUUACGCUAAUACCGCAUACGACCUACGGGUGAAAGCAGGGGAUCUUCGGACCUUGCGCGAUUGAAUGAGCCGAUGUCGGAUUAGCUAGUUGGCGGGGUAAAGGCCCACCAAGGCGACGAUCCGUAGCUGGUCUGAGAGGAUGAUCAGCCACACUGGAACUGAGACACGGUCCAGACUCCUACGGGAGGCAGCAGUGGGGAAUAUUGGACAAUGGGCGCAAGCCUGAUCCAGCCAUACCGCGUGGGUGAAGAAGGCCUUCGGGUUGUAAAGCCCUUUUGUUGGGAAAGAAAAGCAGCAGGUUAACACCCCGCUGUUCUGACGGUACCCAAAGAAUAAGCACCGGCUAACUUCGUG